rnacentral:rRNA from 1 species
UUACGACCAGGGCUACACACGUGCUACAAUGGCGCAUACAAAGAGAAGCGACCUCGCGAGAGCAAGCGGAUCUCAUAAAGUGCGUCGUAGUCCGGAUUGGAGUCUGCAACUCGACUCCAUGAAGUCGGAAUCGCUAGUAAUCGUGGAUCAGAAUGCCACGGUGAAUACGUUCCCGGGCCUUGUACACACCGCCCGUCACACCAUGGGAGUGGGUUGCAAAAGAAGUAGGUAGCUUAACCUUCGGGAGGGCGCUUACCACUUUGUGAUUCAUGACUGGGGUGAAGUCGUAACAAGGUAACCGUAGGGGAACCUGCGGUUGGAUCACCUCCUUACCUUAAAGAAGC